UUCAUUCUCACAGAAAGGAAGCAGAGGAACAGAAAGAAAGAAGCUCAAGGCGCUUCUUCCGGUCUGUGUUCCAUAAGAGAUGCUCGACAGAGAGAGACACUCAGGAGGGCUUUUUCAGGACAUGGCGGCCACUGUGGCUCAGGGACAUGUACAGACCUCUCAGUGCCACACACGUGAAAAACAUGGCGCAGAAGCUUCACGACAGAGAUUCCUCUGAUGAGGAGCACGGUGAAGCCGCAACAGGGAAGGCUCAGGACAGGAAUGAUUCCCCUGCUGACGAGCUGCACUACGAGAGCGAGACCACGCGCGAGACCACCACCGACUGACCCCGUCCGGCCGCGGGUCACCUACAAAAAGAAUAUUUUUUUUAUAUGGCAUCUCA